AUGCAGUUGGCUUCCUGCUCAGGACUUGUGAUCUUGUUGAUAUUCAAAACGACCAAUGGAGACUCUGUGACCCAGACAAAGGGCCCUGUUACCCUCCCUGAGGGGCGAGCUCUGACCCUGAACUGCACAUACCAGACCAGCUAUUCAGCUUUCCUUUUCUGGUAUGUCCAGUAUAAAAACAAAGAGCCUGAGCUCCUCCUGAAAAGCUCAUCAGAAAACCAGAAGGGGGACAGCAGAGGUUUUCAGGCCCAUCUUGUUAAGAGCGACAGCUCCUUCCACCUACAGAAACCCUCAGUGCAAACGUCAGACUCGGCUGUGUACUACUGUGCUCUGAGAGACACAGUGAGAGGAGCUGCAGGGGGAGCUGAGCACAAACCCAGUGGGGCGAAGGUGGGGCCUGGGUGUGGGCAGCCCUGGGUGGGGGCGCUGUUUUCUCUCUCUGGUGUUCUAUGCUGGAGCCUUCCUCCAAGUACUUCCAGCUUCGAUGCCAUAGAGUCAAAGAACUGUAG